rnacentral:misc_RNA from 1 species
CUAUCCCAACCAGUGGCAGAAUCCCUACCACAAUUAUUCUAAUUCGUAUGGUUCUACAUAUACAAUGUCUGGCACAGCAAUGGCUGCUGCAAAUGAGUGGCAGAAGCCAAGUUUUGGAGCCUGUGCCCCACCGUCUUACUUAUAUCAUCCUCUUUCUCCAGCAUCUGGUGGUAUUUCAUGCACAUCAAGUCAGUUAAUGAAACCAGAUACUUCUCAGAAAGUAAAAGAAACUUCUUUGGAAAGGAAAAAGAAUAAAACAAAAAAGGAGAAAAAUCAAAAAAAUAAAAGUCAGCAAAGUUGUUCUCAGGAUACUAGUUUGCAGAAUUCUUCAGAUUUUGAACAAAAUUGCAAUAAAUUAAAUAAUAAUUAUUUGCCAUAUAAUCAGAACUGUGGUUGGGCGACACCAUUGCAUGGUUAUCAAAAUGGAAGGCCUUAUUCACCAAACCCUGCUGGUUAUUAUAAUCAACAGUACUGUUUAUAUUCUGGUCCAAAGGAGCAAACCUCUUCAUCUUCUGCAAAAUACUCACAGCAAAGUGUGCCUAGUAACAACAAUAAUUAUAAAUUCACUGCCACCAAUAAUUGCGUUAACUACCCAGCUAAUAAUUGCAGAAGUAACUACAAUUAUAAUUAUCCAGCCAUGGGGUUAUCUAGCAAUAGCAUUAACCCAAAAACUGAGUUAUCCAACAAUAACAAUUAUCUGGCUACAAGAGUGUCAAACAACAAUGAUAACAACAAUAAUUACUUAGCUGUAGAGCAAUCAGGCUGUAACCAGAAUAGCUACAACCCAGCUAUGAAGCAAUCUAACAACAUAAACAAUGGUUACUAUUCAGCUAUGGAGCAGCAUAACAAUUUAAAUAAUGGUUACAUGUCUAACUCAAGCCCCACAACACAUUGUGAGCUGCCCUCCCAACAACAUAAUAAAAACAAGACCCACCACCAGUAUCAGGCGGUCAAUACUGGUUUUCUGUCAACCACACAACAAAAUAAUUACAACAUGCCCCCAAACUUUAAUCAACAACAGAACAGUUGUUAUCCAACAACAUCAUACUUUACAUCAUGGCAACAGUCAGAGAAUUAUUCUUAUUCAGGACCACAAACUUCGUCCUUUUAUUCUUCUUCUCCAGUGGCACCAGUUUCUGAUGGUUUCAAUUCAACAUCUCCUAAUUAUCAAUCUCCAUCCACAUCUCCUACAUCUGUUUCUAAUCCUCAAACAUUUAAUACUACCCCGCCAAGUUCGUCUUUCUUUUCAAACCAAACGGCAUCCUAUCCCCAUGUGGGUGGCCAAUCAUACUCUCAGUAUUGGUAUCAAUAUAGCUACCCUUACUAUGGAGGUUAUCCAAGUUUUUAUAGCUACCCUUACUGCCAGUAUACUUCAUCAGCUCCUUGUUCAGCUAAUGCCCAGGUGAAUUGUGGUCAAAGAAAUAUGCAAUUUGGAAAUCUGAAGUCUGGAGAAAAAGCUUCUAUCCCUGAAACUAUCUUCGUCCCAAAUUACAGAGGUGCCGAGGUGAGUGUUGAUGGCAAAUAUCUCCUGCUGUCUCCUAAUGAAGGAUGUGAUCCAGUCAACCGAUUGUUUUAUGUUGAACUUGACAAACUUCCUAAUGGCAUUACAGAAAACCUUCCAUAUGUGAAGCUUAUUGACAACUUCGAUGCCCAGUAUGAGUAUAUCACCAAUGAAGGCAGUGUCUUUACGUUCCUCACCAACUUGAACGCACCAAAGUACAAAAUUAUUAAUAUUGACUUCCAAAAUCCUGACCCGAAAAAUUGGAAGACUCUCGUUGAAGAAGAUAAAAAUGCCGUUUUGGAAUGGGCUUCCUGUGUCAACCACAAUAAACUUGUACUUUGUUAUUUAAAAGAUGUCAAGAAUAAGCUGUAUGUACAUCGACUGGAAACUGGAGUACUGGAAGCUGAGAUACCUUUAGACAUUGGCACCAUAAUUGGUUGUUCAGGAAGAAAGAAAAGCAAAGAGAUUUUUAUCCACUUCAUGUCUUUUCUGACUCCUGGCAUUAUCUAUCGUGUGGAUAUGACAGUUGACAAACCAACUCCUGAGGUAUUCCGGACAAUUAAAGUGAAUAAUUUUGACUUCAGCCAGUUUGAAGUUCAACAAGUGUUUUAUCCAAGCAAAGAUGGAACCCAGAUUCCAAUGUUUCUGGUUCAUAAAAAAGGUUUGGUUCGUAAUGGUAACACACCAACAUUUUUGUAUGGCUAUGGAGGCUUUGACAUCUCAAUGAAACCAACAUUCAGUGUUUCGAGAUUGGUUUUUCUCAAGGAUUUAGAUGGAGUGUAUGCUCUAGCCAAUAUUCGAGGUGGUGGGGAGUAUGGUGAAAAAUGGCACAAGAGUGGCACCCAUGCCAAAAAACAAAACGUCUUUGAUGAUUUCCAUGCUGCUGCUGAAUAUCUCAUUAAUCAAAAGUACACCUGCCCCAAAAAGUAAACUUGUCAUCCAUGGUCAAUCAAAUGGCGGACUGCUUGUUGCAGCCUGCAUAAACCAGCGUCCAGAGCUGUAUGGAGUUGCUCUUGCUCAAGUGGGUGUAAUGGAUAUGUUUCGGUUCCAUAAAUUCACCA